GUGACCGUAGCUCAGCUGGUUAGAGCGCCAGAUUGUGGCUCUGGAGGUCGGGGGUUCGAAUCCCCUCGGUCACCCCA
rnacentral:tRNA from 1 species